rnacentral:rRNA from 1 species
AGAACGAACGCUGGCGGCAUGCCUAACACAUGCAAGUCGAACGCUCUUGGGGCUUCGGUCUCAGGGGAGUGGCGCACGGGUGAGUAGCGCGUGGGAACCUGCCCUGUUGUGGGGGAUAACCGAGGGAAACUUCGGCUAAUACCGCAUAAGCCGGUUGUCUUGAAGGAGAUGGCCGGGAAAGAUUUAUCGCGACAGGAGGGGCCCGCGUCGGAUUAGCUAGUUGGUAAGGUAAUGGCUUACCAAGGCGAAGAUCGGUAUCCGGCCUGAGAGGGCGCGACGGAACGACGACUGGAACGUGAAACACGGUCCAGACUCCUACGGGAGGCAGCAGUGGGGAAUUUUGCGCAAUGGGGGAAACCCUGACGCAGCAACGCCGCGUGGAGGAUGAAGCCCCUUGGGGUGUAAACUCCUUUCGACUGGGAAGAUUAUGACGGUACCAGUGGAAGAAGCACCGGCUAACGUCUGUGCCAGCAGCCGC